UUACGGUCAAAUCACGCAUGAAAACACCGGUUCUCGUUCGAUCACCGAAGUUAAGCAUCGUAGAGCCAGGUCAGUACUUAGAUGGGGACCGCUUGGGAACACCUGGUACUGUAAG